UACGUAGGGUGCAAGCGUUAAUCGGAAUUACUGGGCGUAAAGCGUGCGCAGGCGGCUUUGCAAGACAGAUGUGAAAUCCCCGGGCUUAACCUGGGAACUGCAUUUGUGACUGCAUGGCUAGAGUGCGGCAGAGGGGGAUGGAAUUCCGCGUGUAGCAGUGAAAUGCGUAGAUAUGCGGAGGAACACCGAUGGCGAAGGCAAUCCCCUGGGCCAUAACUGACGCUGAGAAGCGAAAGCAUGGGGAGCGAACAGG
rnacentral:rRNA from 1 species